CUUUUUUGGAGAGUUUGAUCCUGGCUCAGGACGAACGCUGGCGGCGUGCCUAAUACAUGCAAGUCGAGCGAACCGAUGGAGUGCUUGCAUUCCUGAGGUUAGCGGCGGACGGGUGAGUAACACGUAGGCAACCUGCCUGUACGACCGGGAUAACUCCGGGAAACCGGAGCUAAUACCGGAUAGGAUGCCGAACCGCAUGGUUCGGCAUGGAAAGGCCUUUGAGCCGCGUACAGAUGGGC
rnacentral:rRNA from 1 species